CCUACGGGGGGCAGCAGUGAGGAAUAUUGGUCAAUGGGCUCGCGCCUGAACCAGCCAAGUAGCGUGAAGGAUGACUGCCCUACGGGUUGUAAACUUCUUUUAUCAAGGAAUAAAGUGAGGCACGUGUGCCUUUUUGUAUGUAUUUUAUGAAUAAGGAUCGGCUAACUCCGUGCCAGCAGCCGCGGUAAUACGGAGGAUGCGAGCGUUAUCCGGAUUUAUUGGGUUUAAAGGGUGCGUAGGUUGUGUUUUAAGUCAGCGGUGAAAGUUUGGGGCUCAACCAUAAAAUUGCCGUUGAAACUGGAAGUCUUGAGUGUGUUUGAGGUAGGCGGAAUGCGUGGUGUAGCGGUGAAAUGCAUAGAUAUCACGCAGAACUCCGAUUGCGAAGGCAGCUUACUAAGCCAUAACUGACACUGAAGCACGAAAGCGUGGGGAUCAAACAGGAUUAGAUACCCUAGUAGUC
rnacentral:rRNA from 1 species